ACUCCUACGGGAGGCAGCAGUGGGGAAUAUUGCACAAUGGGGGAAACCCUGAUGCAGCCAUGCCGCGUGUGUGAAGAAGGCCUUCGGUUGUAAAGCACUUUCAGUAGGGAGGAAGGUAGUGUAGUUAACACCUGCACUAUUUGACGUUACCUACAGAAGAAGCACCGGCUAACUCCGUGCCAGCAGCCGCGGUAAUACGGAGGGUGCGAGCGUUAAUCGGAAUUACUGGGCGUAAAGCGCAUGCAGGCGGCCUGUUAAGUCAGAUGUGAAAGCCCGGGGCUUAACCUCGGAAUUGCAUUUGAAACUGGCAGGCUAGAGUCUUGUAGAGGGGGGUA
rnacentral:rRNA from 1 species